AACGAACGCUGGCGGCAGGCCUAACACAUGCAAGUCGAACGCACCGCAAGGUGAGUGGCGCACGGGUGAGUAACACGUGGGAACGUACCCUUUGGUUCGGAAUAACGUCUGGAAACGGACGCUAAUACCGGAUGAGCCCUGUGGGGGAAAGAUUUAUCGCCAAAGGAGCGGCCCGCGUCUGAUUAGCUAGUUGGUGGGGUAAAGGCCUACCAAGGCGACGAUCAGUAGCUGGUCUGAGAGGAUGAUCAGCCACACUGGGACUGAGACACGGUCCAGACUCCUACGGGAGGCAGCAGUGGGGAAUAUUGGACAAUGGGCGCAAGCCUGAUCCAGCCAUGCCGCGUGAGUGAUGAAGGCCUUCGGGUUGUAAAGCUCUUUCGCACGCGACGAUGAUGACGGUAGCGUGAGAAGAAGCCCCGGCUAACUUCGUGCCAGCAGCCGCAGUAACAC
rnacentral:rRNA from 1 species